GGCUCAGGACGAACGGCUGGCGGCGUGCUUCAUACAUGCAAGUCGAACGAGAAGCUAACUUCGGUUAGUGGAAAGUGGCGGACGGGUGAGUAAAAAUGUAGAGAAUCUGCCCUAGAGAGGGGGACAACAGUUGGAAACGACUGCUAAUACCCCAUAUGAGCGUAGCUGAGAUGCUAUUCUUGAAAACUCCGGUGCUCUGGGAUGAGUCUGCAUCUGAUUAGCUAGUUGGCGGUGUAAUGGACCACCAAGGCGACGAUCAGUAGCUGGUUUGAGAGGAUGAUCAGCCACAAUGGGACUGAGACACGGCCCAUACCCCUACGGGAGGCAGCAGUAGGGAAUUUUGCGCAAUGGGGGAAACCCUGACGCAAGCAACGCCGCGUGAUUGAAUAAGCCCUUCGGGGUGUAAAGAUCUGUCAGUAGGGACGAAACUUGACGGUACCUACAGAGGAAGCAUCGGCUAACUCCGUGCCAGCAGCCGC
rnacentral:rRNA from 1 species